ACGGAAGGCAGCAGUGGGGAAUAUUGCGCAAUGGGGGAAACCCUGAUGCAGCGACGCCGCGUGAAGGAAGAAGUAUCUCGGUAUGUAAACUUCUAUCAGCAGGGAAGACAAUGACGGUACCUGACUAAGAAGCCCCGGCUAACUACGUGCCAGCAGCCGCGGUAAUACGUAGGGGGCAAGCGUUAUCCGGAUUUACUGGGUGUAAAGGGAGCGUAGACGGCUGUGCAAGUCUGGAGUGAAAGGCGGGGGCUCAACCCCCGGACUGCUUUGGAAACUGUAUGGCUUGAGUGCCGGAGGGGUAAGCGGAAUUCCUAGUGUAGCGGUGAAAUGCGUAGAUAUUAGGAGGAACACCAGUGGCGAAGGCGGCUUACUGGACGGUAACUGACGUUGAGGCUCGAAAGCGUGGGGAGCAAACAGGAUUAGAUACCCUGGUA
rnacentral:rRNA from 1 species